AAUAAUUUAUUAAUUUUUUUUUUUAAUAAUUCAAUAUGUUUUUAUUAAAAAAUUUCUAUCAUAAUAUUAUCUAAAAAACAGUAAUAUAAAAAACUUAUAAAAUGUUAAAAAUGAAUUCUCAUUUAUUAAGGAUAUUCAUCAUCUUAGCCUUCAUUUGUUUAGCAAUGAUUCGAUGCCGAGUGCCUGAAGAGGAAUAUACACAAGUUCAAUCUAGCAAUGAUCAAGAAGUGAGUAUGACUGAUGAUGUUAGAAGUAUAUAUUUAUGGUCUACAAGAACAACUAUUCACCAUAUUCUUUUUGGACCCUGAUCAACAAGAUAUGGAGCUUUUGAUGCAAUUGUUUCAGCAAUUUGAUAAGACAGAGAAAGAAUCUUUUAUAUUUAAAUAUUUUUUAUCAUUUAUAAUUAU